AAAUGUGUGUUGUUUAUGUUGAUCAAAUUUGUCAUUUCUAAACACCAAAGUUUUCCUGAAAAAAUUUCCUCAUUUCCUAAUAUUAUACAAUGUGCUGAAAAUUUAUGUGUAGACUUAUAAUUUCAGGAUUUCAGAGCUUACAACUGAAGACUGCAAAAAAUAUUUGGAUGAACUGAAGUUGGAAAUUUCAGAAAAGAGAACCAAACAAAGCACAUAUUAAAUUGCUUAUGCGUGGAAAAGUUACUCUGAUGGUUCUUGCGUCGUCUCUGAUUUAAAGAGAAUACUUGGCAGUGAAACAUUUGCCAAUAUGAAACACAUGGUUCAGCUGCUCCCUGAAGCUGUAGGUGAAACUAAGAUGAUUGAAACCAUCAAGAUGAUAGAAAAAAUGACUGGGUUUGAAAGAGGCAAAGGCAAGAAAACUAAGUCGAUCAUUGAUCUUGUGCCACAAGAAGAAAUAAGCAGUGCAUUAUGGAGCAAAGAAUUAGACCCACCCCAUUUAGUGGUGUUUGUAAACGAUACAACUAUUAAAUGAGGAUCCCCAGUGCUUUGUGGUGGGUGACACAAUCACUAUUUCCUGUUAGGGUGGUGUUGCUGCUGCUCUGAUACAGCUUAUUGCUGUAUACUAUGUUUUCCAGCUUUGAGUAUCCAAGGGUAUACAGUCAGGUUUUGGGUCUUUUACAGACAUUAUUGACAGGUGAGCCAUAUUGUGGUUUGAUGUCAUCAAAGUAUAAGAAGUUUGCACCUAUUAUUAAGGCAGCAAUGAAAGCAGCAGUACAGAAGAAAAAUGAUAAAUAAGUUAUUGUAUUGUAGUUCAACUAUUCCACUAUUUUUAUGGCAUGGAUACCCAUAAAAUGUUGAAUACAAGACCCAAUGUAAUUAGGUCUUUUAUUCCAUGUGUAUAAAUAUUUAUGGUUAUCCAUUAAUGUUGAAUAAACAUUUUAUAUUUUUAAUGAAAAUAA